rnacentral:rRNA from 1 species
UACGUAGGGGGCUAGCGUUGUCCGGAAUCAUUGGGCGUAAAGAGCGUGUAGGCGGCUUUACAGGUCCGUUGUGAAAACUCGAGGCUCAACCUCGAGACGCCGGUGGAAACCGUAAAGCUAGAGUCCGGAAGAGGAGAGUGAAAUUCCUGGUGUAGCGGUGAAAUGCGCAGAUAUCAGGAAGAACACCCGUGGCGAAGGCGGCUCUCUGGGACGGUACUGACGCUGAGACGCGAAAGCGUGGGGAGCGAACAGG